UGAGGAAUAUUGGACAAUGGGCGCAAGCCUGAUCCAGCCAUGCCGCGUGAGUGAAGAAGGCCUUCGGGUUGUAAAGCUCUUUCGAUAGUGAAGAUAAUGACGGUAGCUAUAGAAGAAGCCCCGGCUAAAUUCGUGCCAGCAGCCGCGGUAAUACGAAUGGGGCAAGCGUUGUUCGGAAUCACUGGGCUUAAAGCGUGCGUAGGCGGACAUGAAAGUCAGGAGUGAAAUCCCGGGGCUCAACCCCGGAAUUGCUUUUGAAACUCCAUGUCUGGAAUCCGGGAGGGGUUAGUGGAAUUCCGAGUGUAGAGGUGAAAUUCGCAGAUAUUCGGAGGAACACCAGUGGCGAAGGCGACUGACUGGACCGGCAUUGACGCUGAGGCACGAAAGCGUGGGGAGCAAACAGG
rnacentral:rRNA from 1 species